AGUGAACGCUGGCGGUAGGCCUAACACAUGCAAGUCGAACGGCAGCACAGUAAGAGCUUGCUCUUACGGGUGGCGAGUGGCGGACGGGUGAGGAAUACAUCGGAAUCUACUUUUUCGUGGGGGAUAACGUAGGGAAACUUACGCUAAUACCGCAUACGACCUACGGGUGAAAGUAGGGGAUCUUCGGACCUUGCGCGAUUGAAUGAGCCGAUGUCGGAUUAGCUAGUUGGCGGGGUAAAGGCCCACCAAGGCGACGAUCCGUAGCUGGUCUGAGAGGAUGAUCAGCCACACUGGAACUGAGACACGGUCCAGACUCCUACGGGAGGCAGCAGUGGGGAAUAUUGGACGAUGGGCGCAAGCCUGAUCCAGCCAUACCGCGUGGGUGAAGAAGGCCUUCGGGUUGUAAAGCCCCUUUGUUGGGAAAGAAAAGCAGCAGGUUAAUACCCCGCUGUUCUGACGGUACCCAAAGAAUAAGCACCGGCUAACUUCGUG
rnacentral:rRNA from 1 species